rnacentral:misc_RNA from 1 species
GUAAGUAAAAGUCGUAACAAGGUUUCCGUAGGUGAACCUGCGGAAGGAUCAUUAUUGUAUAACCGAGGUGCGAGGGCUGUCGCUGACCCGAAAGGUCGUGCACGCCCGAGUGCCCUCACACACAUCCAUCUCACCCCUAUGUGCACCACCGCGUGGGUCCCCCUUUGGCUUGUUCGGAGGGGGGCUUACGUUUUCACACAAACUUUGUAUGCAGUGUAGAAUGUAUUUCUUGUUUUUGCGAUCACGCAAUCAAUACAACUUUCAACAACGGAUCUCUUGGCUCUC